GAUGAACGCUAGCGGGAGGCUUAACACAUGCAAGUCGAGGGGCAGCAUAGGGUAGCAAUACUCUGAUGGCGACCGGCAAACGGGUGAGUAACGCGUAUGCAACCUACCCUGUACAGGGGGAUAACCCGGAGAAAUUCGGACUAAUAUCCCGUAAUAAUAUCCGGAGGCAUCUUUGGAUAUUUAAAGUUCCGACGGUACGGGAUGGGCAUGCGUAACAUUAGCUGGUUGGUAAGGUAACGGCUUACCAAGGCUAUGAUGUUUAGGGGUCCUGAGAGGGUGGUCCCCCACACUGGUACUGAGACACGGACCAGACUCCUACGGGAGGCAGCAGUGAGGAAUAUUGGUCAAUGGGCGCAAGCCUGAACCAGCCAUCCCGCGUGCAGGAAGACGGCCCUAUGGGUUGUAAACUGCUUUUCCAGGGAGAGAAACUUACGCACGUGUUGCGUGACUGACGGUACCCUGGGAAUAAGCAUCGGCUAACUCCGUGCCACGCACGCCGCGGUAUCGUACGAG
rnacentral:rRNA from 1 species